CUUACCAUGCAAGUCGAACGAUGAUCCCCAUGCCUUGCUGGGGGGAUUAGUGGCGAACGGGUGAGUAACACGUGAGUAACCUGCCCUUGACUCUGGGAUAAGCCUGGGAAACUGGGUCUAAUACCGGAUACGACCAUUCCGCGCAUGCGGUGGUGGUGGAAAGCUUUUGCGGUUUUGGAUGGACUCGCGGCCUAUCAGCUUGUUGGUGGGGUAAUGGCCUACCAAGGCGACGACGGGUAGCCGGCCUGAGAGGGUGACCGGCCACACUGGGACUGAGACACGGCCCAGACUCCUACGGGAGGCAGCAGUGGGGAAUAUUGCACAAUGGGCGAAAGCCUGAUGCAGCGACGCCGCGUGAGGGAUGACGGCCUUCGGGUUGUAAACCUCUUUCAGUAGGGAAGAAGCGAAAGUGACGGUACCUGCAGAAGAAGCGCCGGCUAACUACGUGCCAGCAGCCGCGGUAAUACGUAGGGCGCAAGCGUUAUCCGGAAUUAUUGGGCGUAAAGAGCUCGUAGGCGGUUUGUCGCGUCUGCUGUGAAAGACCGGGGCUCAACUCCGGUUCUGCAGUGGGUACGGGCAGACUAGAGUGAUGUAGGGGAGACUGGAAUUCCUGGUGUAGCGGUGAAAUGCGCAGAUAUCAGGAGGAACACCGAUGGCGAAGGCAGGUCUCUGGGCAUUAACUGACGCUGAGGAGCGAAAGCAUGGGGAGCGAACAGGAUUAGAUACCCUGGUAGUCCAUGCCGUAAACGUUGGGCACUAGGUGUGGGGGACAUUCCACGUUUUCCGCGCCGUAGCUAACGCAUUAAGUGCCCCGCCUGGGGAGUACGGCCGCAAGCUA
rnacentral:rRNA from 1 species